ensembl:lncRNA
GGAAUCUGGUGGCUGGGAGAAGGAGUGAACCAUCCUUCUCUGUGACUUGAGCUCUGCUUUUUCAGGACUUAGAAUCCUCAAGCGAUGGCUGCCUAUACCGUUGGUUUCCUCUUGUCUCCAAGACAAGGAGCUUCCCCCCUUCCCAGAGUUCCCCAGGCCAUUUGGUGUCCAUGCAGAACAUGCUCACGAGGGGUAGUUUGAGAUUGCAAGGACACUUCCUUGCCCCAUGCCAGCCACAUCCCUGCUGAGCUUCUCCCCAGUGUCUCCCAGGCCAUGCAGGAUAUGGGAACCCAGGACGCUACAGCCAGAGUGGGGGCAGCCACAGAUCCCACUGCAGCCAGGCAAUAAGAAGCAGUCAGGGCUUGGGAGUGUCUCAGUGCCCCUCAGCAGGACCAGUCAUGCCCCCAUUGCUGCCAGGGGCCGCCUGGAGCCAUCUCUCCAUCCACAACAUCGGCCGGGAUGGAGCACGGCCCUGGGUUGCCAUACCAACGCAGGUGCUAACGGGUGUUGACUAACUGUGAGCCGAUCGGAUCAGAGAAUGGUAGCGCUGAGUUGCCAUGGCAACCGAGAUGCCAAAUUGGAAAUGGUGUGGAUAGCAAAGGUGCUCAAGAGGUGGCAAGUGUGCGCAGGGGGCAGUGCCUGGCCGGAGGCUGCAAGCACCCCAGUGGGCAUCUACCUGCCCAGGCCACCCACGGCUCCUCCUCCUGGGGUGGUGGGAUGGUUCAGGGCACUGCAGCAGCUUGGCUGUGUCCCACGUGCCAGCCCCAGUGGAUCUCCUCUGGGACAUGGCUGUUGCCUUGUGCCAAAAUCCUUUGCCUAUCUGACUGCAUGGCUCUCAUACAAAUUGGACAGGUUCAGGUGUCCCUUCUGCAGACAAGGUUAAUGGGAUGUGAGAGGCCACAGCUGCCACAGCACCAAGUGAGGAGGACAAGCAAGAGACAGCAGCAUUAAUCAGCCAGGAGCCAUGCAGAAAUGGUUAUCUCAAGCUGUUUGGAAGC